UACAGAGGUGUCAAACGUUGUCCGGAAUUACUGGGCGUAAAGGGCGCGUAGGCGGCCCUAUAAGUCAGAUGUGAAAGCUCCGGGCUCAACCCGGGAAUUGCAUCUGAUACUGUAGGGCUUGAGUUCGGUAGAGGAGGGCGGAAUUCCAGGUGUAGCGGUGAAAUGCGUAGAUAUCUGGAGGAACACCCGUGGCGAAGGCGGCUCUCUGGUCCGAAACUGACGCUGAGGUGCGAAAGCUAGGGUAGCAAACAGG
rnacentral:misc_RNA from 1 species